rnacentral:rRNA from 1 species
AGCGGAGGGAUCAUUACUGAGUUUACGCUCUACAACCCUUUGUGAACAUACCUAUAACUGUUGCUUCGGCGGGUAGGGUCUCCGCGACCCUCCCGGCCUCCCGCCUCCGGGCGGGUCGGCGCCCGCCGGAGGAUAACCAAACUCUGAUUUAACGACGUUUCUUCUGAGUGGUACAAGCAAAUAAUCAAAACUUUUAACAACGGAUCUCUUGGUUCUGGCAUCGAUGAAGAACGCAGCGAAAUGCGAUAAGUAAUGUGAAUUGCAGAAUUCAGUGAAUCAUCGAAUCUUUGAACGCACAUUGCGCCCGCCAGCAUUCUGGCGGGCAUGCCUGUUCGAGCGUCAUUUCAACCCUCAAGCUCUGCUUGGUGUUGGGGCCCUACAGCUGAUGUAGGCCCUCAAAGGUAGUGGCGGACCCUCUCGGAGCCUCCUUUGCGUAGUAACUUUACGUCUCGCACUGGGAUCCGGAGGGACUCUUGCCGUAAAACCCCCAAUUUUCCAAAGGUUGACCUCGGAUCAGGUAGGAAUACCCGCUGAACUUAAGCAUAUCAAUAAGCGG